AACGAACGCUGGCGGCAGGCCUAACACAUGCAAGUCGAACGAGAAGCUGGAGCUUGCUCCAGUGGAAAGUGGCAGACGGGUGAGUAACGCGUGGGAAUUUACCCAGUGGUACGGAAUAACUCAGGGAAACUUGUGCUAAUACCGUAUAAGCCCUUCGGGGGAAAGAUUUAUCGCCAUUGGAUGAGCCCGCGUUAGAUUAGUUUGUUGGUGGGGUAAUGGCCUACCAAGACUACGAUCUAUAGCUGGUCUGAGAGGAUGAUCAGCCACACUGGGACUGAGACACGGCCCAGACUCCUACGGGAGGCAGCAGUGGGGAAUAUUGCACAAUGGGCGCAAGCCUGAUGCAGCCAUGCCGCGUGAGUGAAGAAGGCCUUAGGGUUGUAAAACUCUUUCACCGGUGAAGAUAAUGACGGUAGCCGGAGAAGAAGCCCCGGCUAACUCCG
rnacentral:rRNA from 1 species